UGGCUCAGAUGGCAAAGCAUCUGCCUACAAUGCAGGAGACCCAGGUUCAAUCCCUGG
rnacentral:tRNA from 1 species